rnacentral:rRNA from 1 species
GCCUGGGGAGUACGAUCGCAAGAUUAAAACUCAAAGGAAUUGACGGGGCCCCGCACAAGCAGCGGAGCAUGCGGCUUAAUUCGACGCAACGCGAAGAACCUUACCAAGGCUUGACAUAUACAGGAAUAUGGCAGAGAUGUCAUAGCCGCAAGGUCUGUAUACAGGUGGUGCAUGGUUGUCGUCAGCUCGUGUCGUGAGAUGUUGGGUUAAGUCCCGCAACGAGCGCAACCCUCGUUCUGUGUUGCCAGCAUUAAGUUGGGGACUCACAGGAGACUGCCGGGGUUAACUCGGAGGAAGGUGGGGAUGACGUCAAAUCAUCAUGCCCCUUAUGUCUUGGGCUGCACGCAUGCUACAAUGGCUGGUACAAACGGCUGCGAUACCGCAAGGUGGAGCGAAUCCGAUAAAGCCAGUCUCAGUUCGGAUUGGGGUCUGCAACUCGACCCCAUGAAGUCGGAGUUGCUAGUAGUCGUAGAUCAGCAACGCUACGGUGAAUACGUUCCCGGGGCUUGUACACACCGCCCGUCACAUCACGAAAGUCGGUAACACCCAAAGUCAGUGCCCAACCGUAAGGAG